CUGAAGAAUACGAAAGUAGCACACAUUUCUGGGAGUGAACAGAAUCCAGGGCAGAGCAACUGCUAUGUGGUCAGAUUUCGCCUCCUUAAAGAAGCAUAUCAGAGGGGAAGAAGGAACUAAGAUGGCAGAUAACCUAUAUGGCACAAUAACUAAAACAGUAUAAAUGCUUGAGGUUUCCGGUCCAACUUCAGGGAGUUUCUUCGUGUCGAUCGGACUUCGUCUCACGGAGAUCUGAGUGCGGACAGAAGGUCUUUUGAUUCCGGUUACAGUUCACUCCGGAUUUUCGUCAUGCUUUACAGUUACAGGACAAGGAGUUCGUUCGGUGGUUCGUGGUUUAAGAGACAUUGACUUUAGUUUGUUCAGUUUUUCUGAUGUCGCAUGCGAAAGAGGAGGAGGAG